ensembl:snRNA U6 U6 spliceosomal RNA
GUACUUGUUUAGGCAGCACGUGUACUAAAAUUGGAACGAUACAGAGAAGAUUAGCAUGACUCCUGUGCAAGGAUGGCACACAAAUUCAUGAAGCAGUCCACAUUUUU